rnacentral:lncRNA from 1 species
GACGGGAACCCCAAUUUGGAAGAGGCGGGAAAGCAACCUGAAACUUCGGAGGACCUGGGGAAGAACACCUUGCCCUCUGCAAUCAUGGAGCACAGCGGGGACCUCAAGCCCUCUUCUGCUGACCCCAGUUGCAUGAGAGAAGACUCGGGCUUCCUCUGCUGGAAGAAGGGGUGCAACCAGGUCUUCAAAACCUCCGCCACUCUGCAGACCCACUUCAACGAGGUGCACGCCAAGCGGCCUCAGCUGCCCGUGUCGGACCGCCACGUGUAUAAGUACCGUUGCAACCAGUGCAGCCUGGCUUUCAAGACCAUUGAAAAGCUGCAGCUCCACUCGCAGUACCACGUGAUCAGAGCCGCCACCAUGUGCUGCCUCUGUCAGCGCAGUUUCCGGACUU